AGUGAACGCUGGCGGUAGGCCUAACACAUGCAAGUCGAACGGCAGCACAGUAAGAGCUUGCUCUUUCGGGUGGCGAGUGGCGGACGGGUGAGGAAUACAUCGGAAUCUACUUUUUCGUGGGGGAUAACGUAGGGAAACUUACGCUAAUACCGCAUACGACCUACGGGUGAAAGCAGGGGAUCUUCGGACCUUGCGCGAUUGAAUGAGCCGAUGUCGGAUUAGCUAGUUGGCGGGGUAAAGGCCCACCAAGGCGACGAUCCGUAGCUGGUCUGAGAGGAUGAUCAGCCACACUGGAACUGAGACACGGUCCAGACUCCUACGGGAGGCAGCAGUGGGGAAUAGUGGACAAUGGGCGCAAGCCUGAUCCAGCCAUACCGCGUGGGUGAAGAAGGCCUUCGGGUUGUAAAGCCCUUUUGUUGGGAAAGAAAAGCAGCAGGUUAAUACCCCGCUGUUCUGACGGUACCCAAAGAAUAAGCACCGGCUAACUUCGUG
rnacentral:rRNA from 1 species